CAGCACCUCAAGUGGUCAGGAUGAUUAUUGGGCCUAAAGCAUCCGUAGCCGGCUCUGUAAGUUUUCGGUUAAAUCUGUACGCUCAACGUACAGGCUGCCGGGAAUACUGCAGAGCUAGGGAGUGGGAGAGGUAGACGGUACUCGGUAGGAAGGUGUAAAAGCCUUUGAUCUAUUGAUGACCACCUGUGGCGAAGGCGGUCUACCAGAACACGUCCGACGGUGAGGGAUGAAAGCUGGGGGAGCAAACCGGAUUAGAGACCCGAGUAGUCC
rnacentral:rRNA from 1 species